rnacentral:lncRNA from 1 species
GCAUCCGAGUUGUACUAGCUUCUCUAUGCCUAUAAAAGGGGGCUGCACCUUUUUUUUAGAUUUUCUUAUUCUCCCUGAGUUUUUUCUUUCUUCUCGACCAAGUUUCUAGCCUCCUUCAAGCUCUUAGAGAAGUUCCCCUUCCGACCAUCCUCUGUCUCUCUGGGUUGUCGGCGGCUUCCUUCGGUGACCUCUCUUGGUUAACUGUUCUUGUCUUCCGC